AGAAACGCCUGAACCGAGAGCAUAAAGGAGAGGUUCGUGGUUUUUUAGAAAAAUUGAACUAUCUGUCAUGGUUCACAUCUCAUUUAACAGCCACGUGCGAACCUAUAUUCAAGAUGUUGAAAAAAAAAAGAAACGCCUGAACCGAGAGCAUAAAGGAGAGGUUCGUGGUUUUUUAGAAAAAUUGAACUAUCUGUCAUGGUUCACAUCUCAUUUAACAGCCACGUGCGAACCUAUAUUCAAGAUGUUGAAAAAAAAAGAAAUCAAACGGUCAGGUGAACUAAUGAUUGCCAAGGGGCAUUGAAAAAUAAAAGAAUAAGUUG
rnacentral:lncRNA from 1 species